AUUGAACGCUGGCGGCAGGCCUAACACAUGCAAGUCGAGCGGAUGAAGGGAGCUUGCUCCUGGAUUCAGCGGCGGACGGGUGAGUAAUGCCUAGGAAUCUGCCUGGUAGUGGGGGAUAACGUCCGGAAACGGGCGCUAAUACCGCAUACGUCCUGAGGGAGAAAGUGGGGGAUCUUCGGACCUCACGCUAUCAGAUGAGCCUAGGUCGGAUUAGCUAGUUGGUGGGGUAAAGGCCUACCAAGGCGACGAUCCGUAACUGGUCUGAGAGGAUGAUCAGUCACACUGGAACUGAGACACGGUCCAGACUCCUACGGGAGGCAGCAGUGGGGAAUUUUGGACAAUGGGCGAAAGCCUGAUCCAGCCAUGCCGCGUGUGUGAAGAAGGUCUUCGGAUUGUAAAGCACUUUAAGUUGGGAGGAAGGGCAGUAAGUUAAUACCUUGCUGUUUUGACGUGACCAACAGAAUAAGCACCGGCUAACUUCGUG
rnacentral:rRNA from 1 species